UUGUCCAUAAAAUAGACCUUUAUAAAACCUCGGAUUUGAAACCAAUAAAUUGGAGCUGUAAUGUAGUCUUUUCUAGGUGGUUUUAGGUCGGUUAAAUAUAAUAGAAAUCAUGAAGGCAGAAAGCCAAUUUGAAGCCAAAAUAACUAUUGAGAACAUUCUGUAUUUCAUUAAUAGGUAAUGAAAUUAAAUCUAUUAACUGCUAAAAUACAUAUUCUACUUAUUUACAUAAAACUUUAGGUCUAUAUAACUAUCAUGCUUCCAAAAAUAACAGCCUGGCCAGGCACAGUGGCUUACGCCUGUAAUCCCAACACUUUGGGAGGCCAAGAAGGGCGGAUCACCUGAGGUCAGGAGUUCGAGACUAGCCUGACCAACAUAGUGAAACCCUGUCUCUACUAAAAAUACAAAAAUUAGCCAGAUGUGGUGGUAUGUGCCUGUAGUCUUAGUUACUUGGGAGGCUGAAGCAGGAGAAUCGCUUGAACCUGGGAGGUGGAGGUUGCAGUGAACUGAGGUCGUGCCACUGCACUCCAGCUUGGGCAACAGAAUGACUCCACCUCAAAAACAAAUAGCCCAACAGCACAAUACUUUUAAAACAUGUUUUGAUGAAAUCCACAAAGGAAUAAUCUUUAUCCCCUUGUCCCUAAACCAUCUUCUCAAAUUUUGUGCCUGAAUUGAAAUUUUUGUGCCAGGAGAGAGUUAGAAGAUAAUACAGAUGGCCAGGCGCGGUGGUUCAUGCCUGUAAUCCCAGCACUUUGAGAGGCCAAGGCGGGUGGAUCACAAGGUCAGGAGUUCAAGACCAGCCUGACCAACAUGGUAAAACCCUGUCUCUACUAAAAAUACAAAAAUUAGCCGGGGGUAGUAGCGCUUGCUUGUAAUCCAGCUACUCAGGAGACUGAGGCAGGAGAAUCAUUUGAACCCAUGAGGCAGAGGUUGCAGUGAGCCGAGAUCGUGCCAUUGCAUUCCAGCCUGAGCGACAGAGCGAGACUCUGUCUCAAAAAAAAAAAAGAAAAGAAAAGAAAAAAAAG
rnacentral:lncRNA from 1 species